rnacentral:rRNA from 1 species
CUACGGGUUGCACCAGUGAGGAAUAUUGCACAAUGGGGGGAACCCUGAUGCAGCAACGCCGCGUGGAGGAUGACGCAUUUCGGUGUGUAAACUCCUUUUAUAUGUCAAGAAAAUGACGGUAGCAUACGAAUAAGCACCGGCUAACUCCGUGCCAGCAGCCGCGGCAAUACGGAGGGUGCAAGCGUUACUCGGAAUCACUGGGCGUAAAGGACGCGUAGGCGGGGUGGAAAGUCAGGUGUGAAAUCCUACAGCUUAACUGUAGAACUGCACUUGAAACUUCUAAUCUAGAGUAUGGGAGGGGGAGAUGGAAUUAGUGGUGUAGGGGUAAAAUCCGUAGAUAUCACUAGGAAUACCUAAAGCGAAGGCGAUCUCCUGGAACAUUACUGACGCUAAGGCGUGAAAGCGUGGGGAGCAAACAGGAUUAGAUACCCCCGUAGUC